AACAGGAUUAGAUACCCUGGUAGUCCACGCCGUAAACGAUGUCGACUUGGAGGUUGUGCCCUUGAGGCGUGGCUUCCGGAGCUAACGCGUUAAGUCGACCGCCUGGGGAGUACGGCCGCAAGGUUAAAACUCAAAUGAAUUGACGGGGGCCCGCACAAGCGGUGGAGCAUGUGGUUUAAUUCGAUGCAACGCGAAGAACCUUACCUACUCUUGACAUCCAGAGAACUUAGCAGAGAUGCUUCGGUGCCUUCGGGAACUCUGAGACAGGUGCUGCAUGGCUGUCGUCAGCUCGUGUUGUGAAAUGUUGGGUUAAGUCCCGCAACGAGCGCAACCCUUAUCCUUUGCUGCCAGCGGUUAGGCCGGGAACUCAAAGGAGACUGCCAGUGAUAAACUGGAGGAAGGUGGGGAUGACGUCAAGUCAUCAUGGCCCUUACGAGUAGGGCUACACACGUGCUACAAUGGCAUAUACAAAGAGAAGCGACCUCGCGAGAGCAAGCGGACCUCAUAAAGUAUGUCGUAGUCCGGAUUGGAGUCUGCAACUCGACUCCAUGAAGUCGGAAUCGCUAGUAAUCGUGGAUCAGAAUGCCACGGUGAAUACGUUCCCGGGCCUUGUACACACCGCCCGUCACACCAUGGGAGUGGGUUGCAAAAGAAGUAGGUAGCUUAACCUUCGGGAGGGCGCUUACCACUUUGUGAUUCAUGACUGGGGUGAAGUCGUAACAAGGUAACC
rnacentral:rRNA from 1 species